rnacentral:rRNA from 1 species
GGGCAACCCUGGUGGCGAGUGGCGAACGGGUGAGUAAUACAUCGGAACGUGUCCUGGAGUGGGGGAUAGCCCGGCGAAAGCCGGAUUAAUACCGCAUACGCUCUAAGGAGGAAAGGGGGGGAUCUUCGGACCUCUCGCUCAAGGGGCGGCCGAUGGCAGAUUAGCUAGUUGGUGGGGUAAAGGCCUACCAAGGCGACGAUCUGUAGCUGGUCUGAGAGGACGACCAGCCACACUGGGACUGAGACACGGCCCAGACUCCUACGGGAGGCAGCAGUGGGGAAUUUUGGACAAUGGGCGCAAGCCUGAUCCAGCAAUGCCGCGUGUGUGAAGAAGGCCUUCGGGUUGUAAAGCACUUUUGUCCGGAAAGAAAACCUCGUGGUUAAUACCCGUGGGGGAUGACGGUACCGGAAGAAUAAGCACCGGCUAACUACGUGCCAGCAGCCGCGGUAAUGCGUAGGGUGCAAGCGUUAAUCGGAAUUACUGGGCGUAAAGCGUGCGCAGGCGGUUCGCUAAGACAGAUGUGAAAUCCCCGGGCUUAACCUGGGAACUGCAUUUGUGACUGGCGGGCUAGAGUAUGGCAGAGGGGGGUAGAAUUCCACGUGUAGCAGUGAAAUGCGUAGAGAUGUGGAGGAAUACCGAUGGCGAAGGCAGCCCCCUGGGCCAAUACUGACGCUCAUGCACGAAAGCGUGGGGAGCAAACAGGAUUAGAUACCCUGGUAGUCCACGCCCUAAACGAUGUCAACUGGUUGUCGGGCCUUCAUUGGCUCGGUAACGUAGCUAACGCGUGAAGUUGACCGCCUGGGGAGUACGGUCGCAAGAUUAAAACUCAAAGGAAUUGACGGGGACCCGCACAAGCGGUGGAUGAUGUGGAUUAAUUCGAUGCAACGCGAAAAACCUUACCUACCCUUGACAUGGUCGGAAUCCUGCUGAGAGGCGGGA